UGGCCUUUAUAUUACUCUGAAUAUGUAAGAUCUCAAUAAACAGUAAAUUUGAGGAGGAUUUGCUAUCAUCUUUUGAAUCGUUCAUCCCGGUGGCAGAUUUCUUGAUUGCCUUAAUUGGGGCUGCCCCAGUUAAUGAGAACUAAAUAGCUCUCAUGAUGAAAACAAGUGUUAUUCAUAACAGCUACUUGUAGUGAUGGUGUCUGGCAGAGUACCUUGCUUAUCCAGUGCUUUCCUGUGACAUUCCAUUUUGCUUUUCUCUUGAAGGGUGUUUAUGUUCGUCGGGUUGUGCCUACUGCUCCAGCAAGCAGUGUUUUGUGAAAGUGAUGGGAGAAGGUGCAGGAGAAGGAUUUAGAAGUUCUUAAUUUGCAGAACCUGAUGAUUGGGAAGCUGAUGAGGAUGUCGAUCUCGAGACGGCUAAUGAAGAUUCCAACGAACCCGAUGUACCGGAUCCAAACGAUGCGGUUUAUGCUAAUGUCCCUGACGAGACGCACAUGCUCAAGCUAGAGGAUAACUGCAAGCACUGCAAUGCAAAGAAGUUUGAGUCCGAGCCACCUGAAUUCUGUUGUCAUAGACACCACCGGAACUCGUGAGACUGUGGUUGAGCUCGGACGCUGAUGCUAGGCAUUUCCGUGCAAACAUCAGAUAUUUCAAUGAACACUUCUCUUUCACUUCUCUAUACUGUAAACUUGAUCGUGUGACCACCGACAUGACAAACUGUGGAAUUUACACAUUUCAUGCCCAUGACCAAAUCUACCAUAACAUAUGAUCAUUUGGUAAAGAGGAUGGUCACGAACCUGG